AUCCAGCUAACGAGUCCUAAAUAGAACAACGAAACGCGCGUCAAACUGGAU
rnacentral:hammerhead_ribozyme from 1 species